GUUGAUAUAUAAAUCAACACUUACUUUAUGGAUGUUUGCUUAUUGUGGUUUGUAAAAUUUCCAUCUUGGUUAUCUUUUUUUAUAAGCAAAGAACAUAGUAAGAUAUCAAAUACCAUCUUGAUUACAAAGGGUACACAUCAACCCCAUUACAACACACAGAAAAUUGGCAAUUUUCAAAACAUCCAAUCUAUUCAAUAUCUAAGUCUUGUCUACAUAUGGAUUCAAUAUUGACUUCAAUUUCCAUUGGCUUUGAUUGAUCAC
rnacentral:lncRNA from 1 species